UUUCUAAAUUAAUCCUUUUAGCUGAUCUUCCCCCUUUCACCCCUCUUUCUCCAUUGCUAUGUUACUGAAGCUUUGAUCUAUCCUUGUUUAGCUCUAGGUGGUCAAUACCCUUCCUUUGUUGUUCAUUUCGGUCCAGCUUGCAUGAGUAUGUAAGCAUCUUUAUUUCUUUUUGUACACUUCUGAAUCUGACCUUUGUUUUCUUUAGGUGAAGUCUUCAGUAUUGUUUCUAUGUUUUUUGGUACUAUAAGAAAGGUAUCGUCUACAGAAAGUUGUUUCUUUCCUCUUCUGUAGUUGGGAUGGAAAUACUUGGAAGCUCGGACCCUUUAACAAUUGAUGAAAAACAAGAUUUUCAGCUUCUUACAUUCUAUCUGACCUGGUGACCCCAUGGCGUUCUUUAUUCUGGUUGCGCUAUAUCAGGGAAAUGAAUGCCUUCUCAUCUUUCUGUUGUAACGUUGUGAUGCUUUGAUUUACGUUGUGACUACCCUGCUUUGACCCCUGUUUGCUCUUUAUUCUCCAAUUGGUGUAAUCCUUAAAUAGGGUCUACUCCAUUUAUCACUAUUGACAAUAGCUUUACCUCUUUGAUGUUACUGUUGAAAGCUUGUAAAACUAACUGCUCCUCCUAAUUCUAUAGCUAAAUUACAAGAUAAUCUGCCAGUUUGUUUCCCUCUCUGCA